CGACCGAUGCGUCGCCGUUCCCUAGCUCGUUCCUCUCCGCUUCCGGGUAUCCCUGUCCUUCCUUCCUUCUGCCGCAGCGUGUUGUUAUCCUUCCAUAAGGUAGUAUUCCAUAAUAUGGCACUAUCACCGGACACUCGCACGUUACCGCGGACACUCGCGCAGCGUAUAUCGCAACGACGCGAGAUCAGGUUAGGAUUAUCGCGACGCCGUUUACGAAUUUCACAAGACGAUCGCCCGGCUGUUCGAUCGAUCCGAUUCACUUCCGACACUUGUUUUCGCACGCGAUGUCCACUAGGGAACGUGAAGUCAUAACACGACGGACGCGGAACUCCCGAUUUCGCGCCCUUCCGCGUCUCCGGGACGGGAGACCGAGGUGCUUGCUGAAGUUCGAGAGCAGGAAGCAGGAAGGUCACCUCGGAGAGAUAGGAGUCCCUUCUCGAUGAGAGACCGAUCGCGAACAAGGCUCGAGCACCGCUUCCGAGAUCUCAAUCGACAUACCGACGAGACGAGGAACGCGGAGUAGUUAGGUCAAGCGACAAGUGACGCUGCGAAUUGUGUCGAACGCGACGCACUUCACGAUACUCGAGAUCCCGGGUAUACCACACGCGACGUCGCACUAUUCUUUCGUACCCUCGCGCGCGAGUAACGAACAUAUCAAGGUCGUCGCCGUUGCCCACGACGUUCGCGACAUUCCGACGGCCAAAAAGAUCGCUCGAUCGCGCGCCAAACGAUACUUGGCUCUGCCUGCCCGCCAUUGUGCUCCGCGACUGAAGAGUGCGAGGGGGAAAGCGGUUCGCCACCUAGAUGCGAGUGACCGUGACGUAAACGCGGGGGGGCUCCAGCACCGCUUUUGAGAAUCGACGAGGGAAAGAGUGCGGAAUCACGUCUUCGGGCGACGCGAGACGCGGUCGGACGCGACGCACCUCACGAUACUCGGGAUCCCGCGUACUUCACGUCCGACAACGCGACACGACGAGAAACACGGAGCCGGUGGGUCAAGCCUCGUCGACAGUAAUCAUAAGUAGCUAGUUGCAACUCGCGACAGCCAAUGACUGUCGAGCUUGUACUAGAAACCAGACGCUCAUUGGCUGUCGCAAGUCGCGACUGGCUGCUUGCGACUUUUGUAGACGAGGCGUCGAGCGACUCGAGAUCCCGCGUAUACCACACGCGACGUAGCGCUAUUCUUUCGUACCUUUCGUACCCUCGCGCGCGAGUAACGAACAUAUCAAGGUCGUCGCCGUUGUCCACGACGUUCGCGACAUUCCGACGGCCAAAAAGAUCGCUCGAUCGCGCGCCAAACGAUACUUGGCUCUGCCUGCCCGCCAUUGUACUCCGCGAUCGGACUGAAGAGUGCGAGGGGGGAAGCGAUUCGCCACCUAGAUGCGAGUGACCGUGACGUAAACGCGAGGGGGGGGGGAGGGCUCCAGCACCGCUUUUGAGAAUCGACGAGGGAAAGAGUGCGGAAUCACUUCUUCGGGCGACGCGAGACGCGGUCGGACGCGACGCACCUCACGAUACUCAGGAUCCCGCGUAUCUCACGCCCGACAACGCGACACGACGAGAAACACGGAGCCGGUGGGUCAAGCCUCGUCGACAGCAGUCGUAAGCAGCUAGUUGCGACUCGCGACAGCCAAUGACUGUCGAGCUUGUACUAGAAACCAGACGCUCAUUGGCUGUCGCAAAUCGCAACUGGCUGCUUGUGACUUUUGUAGACGAGGCGUCGAGCGAUAAGUGACUCGAGAUCCCGCGUAUACCACACGCGACGUCGCGCUAUUCUUUCGUACCCUCGCGCGCGAGUAACGAACACGGGGGGAGGAGGGGGGGGAGUGGCUCCAGCACCGCUUUUGAGUAAUCGGCGAGGGAAAGAGUGCGGAAUCACGUCUUCGGGCGACGCGUGCCGUGUGAACUGUGACGCGGGACGCGGUCGGACUUCACGAGGGUUAAGAUCCCACGCAUUUCACGCCCGACAACGCGAUGCAACGCGACGAGGAACGCGGAGCCGUGGUCAGGUCAAGCGACGAGUGACUCUGCGAAUUGUGUCGAACGCGACGUACUUCACGAUACUCGAAACCCCGCGAACACAUCAAGGUUCGUUGUCGUUGUCCGCGACAUUCCGACGGCCAAGGAGAUCGCUCGAUCGCGCGCGCGCCAAACGAUACUUGGCCUUGCGUGCCCGACGUUGUGUUUCGCGACAGGAGUAAUUGUGAGAUAUCGAGAACCGAAGAGAGCAAAACGGGGGAAGUAGUUCGCCACCUAGGUACGAGUGGUCACGACGUAAACACUGAUCGGAGCUCCAGCACCGACGAAACGAAGAGCAUCGGGAUCCAUGUUUCCGGACGACGUGUGCUGUGUGAAGUGUAACGCGACGCACGUUUGUCGAGCGCGACGCACUUCACGAUACUCAAGCUCCCGCGUAUUUCACGCCCGACGACACGGACGUUGCUCGCGGAGUCAUUUCUUGUACCUCGAUCGGCCCCGACGGACACACCGGGGCUCAUUGCCGUCGCUCGCCGACGAUUCGCGUCCUACGGAGGAAAGAUCUCGCGAUCGCGACGAAGUGUGUGAAUUGGUGUAAAUGUCCUCGCGACGGCAUCGGCACGAGUCGCAGCGUCGAAGCGUCGACUAUGGCAGGAGGGACCCCUCUCCCCCCUCCCGGGGGGAUAGUGAACGAGAGAAGCCAGCUGCUGAUUGACCACUUCAAGAAUCCGACAUUUCUAGAAAGAGAAAAAAAAGUCGAGCCGCGUCGUCGUCCGCGCCGUUCGUGCCCUUGGAAUGCGAGCUCGCACUUGUUGUUAUCUUCGCGAUGACCAGGAAAAGGGACUCUCUUCGGACAAGCGUCGACGCUCGAAGUCCCGAUUGUAAAUCCGUCACUGUCACUUCGCGAUUUACCGUAGAUUGAAAAACAAUGGGACCAUCUCGACUCGCGGCCACUCCGUCCGAGAAGAGGUCGGCCGCGAAAACACGGAAAGGCUCUCGAUAUCUUAAUCUUAAUGACGUCAAAAGAUACUUUACAAGCGGGUAAGCGAUGAACGCGAGGUCACGUAGGUGACCCGCUGGUCGUCAACGUGGACUCGACAGCUGUAGUGUGUCAGUGAGGUCGCGCAGAGGAUAGCCAGCAAACCUUUCAAUCUUCUCAAAUUUUCUACGAAUCUUUUAAACCUCCUGUCUAAGACAGCAACGGAUUUAUAAUUGGUUCUUCGGGAUUGUGUUCGACCGCUUUUUAAGAACCGGAUGAUCGCCAACCACUUCGGUAACACCAUUGAGGUCGCGCAGAGGAUAGCCAACAAACCUUUCAAUCUUUUCAAAUUUUCUACGAAUCUCUUAAACUUCCUGUCUAAGACAGCAACGGAUUUAUAAUUGGUUCUUCGGGAUUGUGUUCGACCGCUUUUUAAGAACCGGAUGAUCGCCAACCACUUCGGUAACACCAUUGAGGUCGCGCAGAGGAUAGCCAACAAACCUUUCAAUCUUUUCAAAUUUUCUACGAAUCUCUUAAACUUCCUGUCUAAGACAGCAACGGAUUUAUAAUUGGUUCUUCGGGAUUGUGUCCGACCGCUUUUUAAAACCCGGAUGAUCGCCAACCACUUCGGUAACACCAUUGAGAUAAAUCCGUGGAAGUUAUUUACGGUACAAACAAGUGUCCACCUAUUCGAUAGUAACUAUACACGUCUUUACUUUACGCUCUUCCGUGUUCUCAAUGCCCCGUCGCCAUCGAAGAAUCCACAGCUGGAGCCCAGUCUUCCAGAAACUAGACGCUCGAUCGGAUACGAGAACGAAAGACAUCGUUGCGGUAAAAGUACACGCGGAUACGUAUAUACACACUCGGAAUGUGUCUCUCUAUAAAAUUGUCAGGUAUCGUUUUCUCUGGUAUGUAACGGUGCAUAAAGCUCGCCGUCCGUCCAAGGAGGCUACACCGUUGUUUCCCAUGGGCGUAUCCAGGGGGGAGAUUUGAGGGGGUUUAAAACUUCCUUUAAAAAUUUUUUUUUAUUUUCCUCAAUUCUUUAUCGUAACAUGUAACUUUACUUUUGAUUCUGAGUAAAUUUUUUACUAUUACAUGAAAUAUCUUCUUCCCGUUACGACCAUAUAAUAAAUAAUUUCUAGAAUUCCCAUUAUUUAGGAGCUUUGAUAGCGUUCGAUGCACAAGGAACAUUUUUGCGAGGUUUGUGAAUUGAAAAAUAGAAUAUGCGCUUUCAACCUUUAAAAAAUGAAAGGAUCCUUAAGAUUUUUACUUACAGAACACAAAUAUAGUAGAAUUUUUUGUGUCUCUAACCUAAUAUUUUUCUCAUUCAAAAUUGGGAACUGAUUUUCAUUCUAACUCAUUCUAAGCUCAAAACUUUUCAGAAAUAGCAAUUUAUUAAAACUUGUUUAUUUGUUAACAGAAAAUUGAAUAUCUCCACUCUCUCUUCUCUCGAAAAAAAAGUCCUGAAUAUGUCCUGAAUAUUGCUUCAAGCGUACCCAAAUAUAAUGGACGCACGCAAUCAGAGAGGGUUACAGUGCACGCAUCGGUUGUUCUACCAUUAGGCAAAGAUAUGGCCGGCGGGCAGAAAAGACCGGAUGUCGUGCACGAUCGAAUCCAGAGCUUGUGUCUCUGCAUCGCGUUUGAUUCUGUGCAUCGGCGCAGUUUACGCUGCGUAACGCGAAACCUUUGAACGUUCCGGGCGGAUGUGCCACGCGCGUGGUCUGCUUACACGCAUACAUUAUGACGGGGGCUAAAAUUUAACAGUAAUAACCACAAACAGUAGUUACGUAUGCAUGGUUUACCCGCAUAACGAAUCGAUACUCCGAGUCCCGGAGAACCGCGCGCCUCGCACCCGCGAAACUCCUCGCGUGAAAGUGGAGAGCACAGAGCAUACAGAGAAAGAGAGAGAGAGUGAGAGAGAGGAAGAGAUGGCUGAAGCGCGCGGUUGACGCGAAAGUUUCAGCACAGGUGAUUAUUUGCGCGGGAUGAAAGUAAUCGAAUAUUAAUUACUUUCGGACGGCUACGUUGCCGUUGGUGCGAUCGGGGCAUCGGAGAUAAAGCAGCGACCUUGCUUUGAUAUUUACAUGAUUCUCGAUACACAAACAACAUAGGAAUUUCAAUGUACACAGUCUGACGCGCGGCCACCUCCUAUUUUCCGUAGUGGCCGUUAUUAAAUUUUACUCUAGAUAGCCCGAAAUGCAAAACUAUUUUGGUGUAUGGAAGCAAUAUGGAAGUUUAAAAAAAAAGGAGGGUAAAAAAAAAGAGUAUACGCGCGGCAGUCGAAGCCGGUCUACAAUAUUAAUUCUUUACUGUAGAAUUUUUCACUUUUCCUUUUUGCAAACCCUUUAUAUUCGGAUUCGUUUAUGAAUAGCGAUGUCUAACGAAUACGUCCUUUAUUCUAGCGCGCGCAAGAAAGGAUAGCGAAAUGCAAUUCAAAUAUCGGUGCGAUAUGUAAUUUUUAAACCGCUGGCGUUGAUUGCCUCUCUUUCGCGUACGUUUUUUCUCCCGAUCCCUCGCGAUUUUUCCUUGACCCGGCCAGAAAUUGCAUAAACUUGCGAAUAAAAGCGGAACGCGCACAAUUUUUCGCGGUGCACAAACGACGCAGCGCGAGUUGCGUCGUAACAAAUAGCAUUCAUAGGACUACGCGCCCGGAGCGCGUAUGUGCCGGCAUUUUUGCGUUUUCCUCUUUUUUUUUUCGCAAGUGUACACGUGACGUUCUGUAAGAAUAAUCAACGAUAGAAUAGCAUUAAAAGUCUAAUGAUUACAAAAUGAGGACGGCCAAGAGAGUGGAAUUAUUUUCUCUAUUUCUAAACUAAAAAUUACUGACCUGUUGAUAAAAAAUGAUCAUAUACGAUUGAAUAACAAACGACUUCUAAAAUACAAAUGCUUACUUAUGUGCAUUUUCCGAAUAUGUGUCAAUACUACGCUGUUUCGUCGACCGUAAGAUAAUUAAUUACGUUGUAUCGACGACAGUCGAUUACAUUAUCUCUUGAUUAUUUAUUUAUUUAUUGUGUACUUAUAAAAGGCAACAUACAAAAUGUAUUAAUGUAAAAUUUAAUGUAAAUGUUUUCUAGAAAAGUAAAAUCUAGAAAACGGUUCUUCUGUUUUUUCCCCAAAGAAGGAAACGAUUAUGAUAAUAAAAUAUUAAUCCUUUUAAUUUUCCGGAAAA